AUGCAGGUGCCCCCGAGAUGGUGUGUGGAUAAGAUGGACUGUUGGGAGGCGUUGGUGGAUGUGUGGUGCUCUCCCGAAUGGCUAGUCGAACAACAGAGUGCGAAGGAUAAGCGUGACCAAAUGGAAGGUGUGCCACACCAUCAAGGGAACUCCAACCUGUUUGAGUACGGGAAUAACUGGGCGCACCACCACAAGAAGCCUGUGCCAAGUCUGUUCGACCUCUAUGGCAUGGCCCAUAUGGCCCCGUACAAGAAGGCCAAGCCAUUCACGGAGUCUGACCUAGAUCAUCUAGAGAGCUUCACCAACAUCUCCUCCCACCACAAGCUUGUGAAGUACAGAGACGAGGGGAAGGCGAGGAAAGGGGAGGACUUUAACCCGAGCCAGGAUCCUUUUGAUACAGAGCUGGUGAUGAUAUCUGGUGGCGGGAGGUCCCAUGGCUCUCAAGGCAUUAGUGAUGGACUGAUACGUUGUCCUAAGACUCUCCCGCAGAUCAAGAAGCGCCUGAGUAGCUCUGAUCCUCAGAUAACACCUCGUGCACGGCUUGCGGAGCUUGCCAUGGCGGCAUUGGUUGAGAAAGAGAGAUUGAAGACCCAGACGCUUUUGGAGGAGGCAAAAAGGGAGGCGGCGGAGAGGGAGAGGGAGAUGGAGGAGAGGACGACUAAGCUGUUGGAGGAGGAGAGGAACCGGAACGACAACGCUAACCGGGCCCUAUACAAGCUCAUCGUGAUCAUGUGCGAGAAAAACGGUCAGGCCCCUCCGCCGAUGCUCCAGAUUGCUUCGGCGACCACGCAUGGCUCUCGACAAGCAUCGACCAAUCCUUCUGCGUCUGCCAAUGUCGGAACCCCGACCGGUCCUUCACCUCCGUCUGGCACUGGCGCAGCCCCGACCAUUCCUACACCUCCGUGA
rnacentral:rRNA from 1 species